rnacentral:lncRNA from 1 species
CAUUAUUUUACUCCUCUUGAAACAUUUUUGGAGGUGUAAAUCAGUGAAUUCUAUUCUACCCCACUUUAAAGCUGAAAAAAGGAACUACAGAGGAAUCCUCAGUUUUGGGACAGGGUUGUUGAGAUGCAAUGGCAGCAGGAUCUCAGCCCUGGGAAAGAUUACAAUCUCAUUAUUAGUCAAGAGGAAGCAGGAAAGGGAAAGGUUGUAACAAAUGAGGUUUUGUUUUUGUUGCCUGUUAUCAGAUCACUGUGCACUGCAAAGAUGAGUGGGAUCUAUGUUACAAGGAUCUACAUCCUCGCUUUAGAUCUCUGUGUCCUCUCCAUCUCUUGGGUCUUCAGGGUUCUUGCUGUGGAAAUAUCUGUGUGCUUCGUGUCACAUUUCUUCCACAGAAACUGUUCAAACUCUGAGAACAGAAGUGUUCCCUGCACCUGUAUUACAACUUUCCUAUGAAUUUCUUCAUUUAGAAACCAGUUUUUCUGAAAGAAGUGACAGUGCUUGACUUCUACACUGGUGGAAGGAUUUUCUGUUGGGGAAUCCCUUCUCCAUCAUUUCCUUAUUUGAACCUGGAAUGUCUUUAGGACCAGAUGUAAAAGUUUUGAAAUUAAAAGGUAAUAAGAAAUUCAGUGAGACUCCUUCUUAGCCCAGGGAAGAUAAAACUCUUCCUAAGCAGCUAGGAACAGAAAGUGCUUUUUGUGAAAAUAAUACAUGGUAUGGACUAAUAACCCCACCUGUAACACCCACUGUAAAUUCUAUCCACUGCCAGGCUGACACUCCUGGGCUUCCAGCACCUUCUUUCCUUUGUGUCUACCUUAGAUAAGUUUGUUGCCUAUAUUUUCAUAAAGAAUUUAACUAAAUUUUUUUUAUUUCCUUUUUUUUCCUUCCUGUCAUCCACAUACUGCUAUUAUUCUACUCAUCAGGGGAUCAUAAAGCCAUAGCCUUGCAUCUUAUUAACAAUAGAACUAGUAAUUGUUAAUAUAGAACACUGACAGGCAUAAUUACACAACAAAUAACUUCACAUUUUAAUCCCUUAACACAUAAUUUAUGUUACUCAUUUACUAAUCCCCAUUUCACAACACAAUUUACACAUUCUUUUAUUAGCGAGUUAUUUGGGCAUGAACACUUGGGUUAUUCACUUAAACAGAUACCUGGAAUUUAAUAAGCCUUACAUAUCUUUUUCAACAUCCAUAACAAGUCUGAUUACAGAGUCUUUUGCUAGGAUACCACUCUUGCCAGGCUCCAUUUGGGGUGUGAAAUUCAGUCCAUUAAUCAAGCACCCAUAAUAGCAGUACUGACAGUACCAGAGCAGAGAGCACAAACAUCCUAAUCACCCCCUGAAUUAUUUAAGAACAGGAAUAGUUUAGCACAAUGGGAGAUCUCCAAAAUUAAUUUUUGCCUUUUGUUAAAGCUCUCUCAUUUUUCACCACUUUUGAAUAGUUGUCCCAAAUAAUGC